rnacentral:rRNA from 1 species
UACGUAGGUGGCAAGCGUUGUCCGGAUUUAUUGGGUUUAAAGGGUGCGUAGGUGGCCCUGUAAGUCAGUGGUGAAAUAUCUCAGCUUAACUGAGAGGGUGCCAUUGAUACUGCAGGGCUUGAGUACAGAUGAGGUAGGCGGAAUUGACGGUGUAGCGGUGAAAUGCUUAGAUAUCGUCAAGAACACCGAUAGUGAAGACAGCUUACUAGACUUCAACUGACGCUGAGGCACGAAAGUGUGGGGAUCAAACAGG